rnacentral:rRNA from 1 species
ACUAGAAUCCCUCGGGACGCUGUUAACAGUUACGGCGGCAGGUAGUAAUACCUGCCUUAAGGAUGAAUAACUUAAACCCGUGUCUACCUUCUUUGUUGCUUUGGCAGGCCGCCUCGCGGCGUUAGCUCUAGCUGACCGUGCCUGCCAGAGGACCCAAACUCUUUUGUUUUAGUGACGUCUGAGUACUAUAUAAUAGUUAAAACUUUCAACAACGGAUCUCUUGGUUCUGGCAUCGAUGAAGAACGCAGCGAAAUGCGAUAAGUAAUGUGAAUUGCAGAAUUCAGUGAAUCAUCGAAUCUUUGAACGCACAUUGCGCCCCUUGGUAUUCCGAGGGGCAUGCCUGUUCGAGCGUCAUUAUAACCUAUCAAGCUUGGCUUGGUAUUGGGGUGCGCGGUCCCGCGGCCUUUAAAAUCAGUGGCGGUGCCACCCGGCUCUAAGCGUAGUAACUUUCUCGCUAUAGUUCCCGGGUAGUUACCUGUCAGAACCCCCUUAUUACACGGUUGACCUCGGAUCAGGUAGGGAUACCCGCUGAACUUAAGCAUAUCAAUAAGCGGAGGAAAAGAAACCAACAGGGAUUACCUUAGUAACGGCGAGUGAAGCGGUAAUAGCUCAAAUUUGAAAUCUGGCUCUUUUAGGGUCCGAGUUGUAAUUUGUAGAAGAUGCUUUGGGUGUGGCUCCGGUCUAAGUUCCUUGGAACAGGACGUCAUAGAGGGUGAGAAUCCCGUAUGUGACCGGUGGCCUCCGCCCGUGUAAAGCUCUUUCAACGAGUCGAGUUGUUUGGGAAUGCAGCUCAAAAUGGGUGGUAAAUUUCAUCUAAAGCUAAAUAUUGGCCAGAGACCGAUAGCGCACAAGUAGAGUGAUCGAAAGAUGAAAAG